AUAGUGUUGAAAAGUACCGCACAGAAAACAAAGUAGUAGUUUUCGUUUUUCGUGACAAAAAAAUUCCAACGUUUCCAAGCCAACGUUUGCAAAAUUUCAACCGAAAAUUGAAUAAAAAUAGCUACAAAAUUGAAGGGAACGGCGUCACCCAGAACCUAACCAUGUCACUGCUUAACAACGAUGACAGCAUACUGGCCAUAGACGAAGAUCCGCAGGUUGUCAUCCAGGAGGAUGAGCCCUCGACAGCCCCCCACAUGCCCAGUGGCCAGUCGAUGGACUCGUUGCGCUCAUCGUUCACCAACAGAAGCUCAACGCCAGACUCUACCGAGCAUUCGCUGGACACGCUCGAAAUGGCGCAGGACGAUCGCGAGGAGAAGGCUCGCCUAAUCACGCAGGUAUUGGAGCUGCAGAACACCCUUGAUGAUCUGUCCCAGCGUGUGGACUCUGUGAAGGAGGAGAAUCUCAAAUUGCGCUCCGAGAACCAGGUUCUGGGACAGUACAUCGAGAAUCUCAUGUCCGCCUCCUCGGUGUUCCAAUCGACCAGCCCCAGUGCGGCGAAAAAGAAGUAGAAACAAACUGCCGACUACCGGAAGGAAGCCUGUACCUCUCAAAUAUGCCUUGUCGUUCAUGCUAUUGCGAAAACAUACUCGUCUAUAACUAUAUUUUAUAUUUUAGCCUAGUCUAAUGCUGCAAUGUUUUUUUAGUUGCGUUGCUAACUUUUCGAAUUUGUGCACAACACCAUUGUCUUUGUUUAGAGUGUUUAAGCUUAAUAUUAGCUUGCUGUUCGUGCCUCAAACAACAAAUGUUCAGCAGCACGAGCGCGGAGGAGGAGCUAUUUUCGUAUUACAAAACGUAGAAAGCGUGUAAAAGUUGUAACCUGUGCUCGAAUAAUCAGAAAUACCUGUCAAAUGGCAAGAUAAAACAAUAGUAAAGAGCCCCUGUGCCAGCGCUACGGGUGUUUGAAAAAAAGUGAUUGCGAAAUAUGUACGUUGCAGGGGAAAGAAAGGUGUAAUAGGAGUGGAGUCGUCGUGUAAUAGGAGGAGACGUCAUCUCAUAUCAGAAAAGCGAUCAACGACGAAGCGUAUGGCGGAAGCAGCCGCCAA